rnacentral:rRNA from 1 species
GACGAACGCUGGCGGCGUGCUUAACACAUGCAAGUCGAACGGAAAGGCCCUGCUUUUGUGGGGUGCUCGAGUGGCGAACGGGUGAGUAACACGUGAGUAACCUGCCCUUGACUUUGGGAUAACUUCAGGAAACUGGGGCUAAUACCGGAUAGGAGCUCCUGCUGCAUGGUGGGGGUUGGAAAGUUUCGGCGGUUGGGGAUGGACUCGCGGCUUAUCAGCUUGUUGGUGGGGUAGUGGCUUACCAAGGCUUUGACGGGUAGCCGGCCUGAGAGGGUGACCGGCCACAUUGGGACUGGGAGACGGCCCAGACUCCUACGGGAGGCAGCAGGGGGGAAUAUUGCACAAUGGGCGGAAGCCUGAUGCAGCAACGCCGCGUGCGGGAUGACGGCCUUCGGGUGGUAAACCGCUUUCGCCUGUGACGAAGCGUGAGUGACGGUAAUGGGAAAAGAGACACCGGCUAACUGCGG